UACGGAGGAUGCGAGCGUUAUCCGGAUUUAUUGGGUUUAAAGGGUGCGCAGGCGGAGGUGCAAGUCAGCGGUCAAAUUGCGGGGCUCAACCCCGUACUGCCGUUGAAACUGGGGAUCUAGAGUGUGCGAGAGGUAUGCGGAAUGCGUGGUGUAGCGGUGAAAUGCUUAGAUAUCACGAAGAACUCCGAUUGCGAAGGCAGCUCACUGGACUGCAACUGACACUGAGGCUCGAAAGUGUGGGUAUCAAACAGG
rnacentral:rRNA from 1 species